CAGCAGCCGCGGGAAAACGGAGGGUGCAAGCGUUAUCCGGAUUUAUUGGGUUUAAAGGGUCCGUAGGCGGAUCUGUAAGUCAGUGGUGAAAUCUCACAGCUUAACUGUGAAACUGCCAUUGAUACUGCAGGUCUUGAGUAAAUUUGAAGUGGCUGGAAUAAGUAGUGUAGCGGUGAAAUGCAUAGAUAUUACUUAGAACACCAAUUGCGAAGGCAGGUCACUAAGAUUUAACUGACGCUGAUGGACGAAAGCGUGGGGAGCGAACAGGAUUAGAUACCCGCGUAGUCCCUGUCUCUUAUAC
rnacentral:rRNA from 1 species